UACGAAGGGGGCUAGCGUUGCUCGGAAUUACUGGGCGUAAAGCGCACGUAGGCGGCUUUCUAAGUCGGGGGUGAAAUCCUGGAGCUCAACUCCAGAACUGCCUUCGAUACUGGAGAGCUUGAGUCCGGGAGAGGCGAGUGGAACUGCGAGUGUAGAGGUGAAAUUCGUAGAUAUUCGCAAGAACACCAGUGGCGAAGGCGGCUCACUGGCCCGGUACUGACGCUGAGGUGCGAAAGCGUGGGGAGCAAACAGG
rnacentral:rRNA from 1 species